rnacentral:rRNA from 1 species
UACAGAGGGUGCUAGCGUUAAUCGGAAUUACUGGGCGUAAAGCGUGUGUAGGUGGUUAGAUAAGUUAGAUGUGAAAACCCUGGGCUUAACCUGGGAACUGCGUUUAAGACUGUUUAGCUAGAGUACUGUAGAGGGCAGUGGAAUUUCCAGUGUAGCGGUGAAAUGCGUAGAUAUUGGAAGGAACACCAGUGGCGAAGGCGACUGCCUGGAUAGAUACUGACACUGAGACACGAAAGCGUGGGGAGCAAACAGG